CCGUAGGUGGGCCCAUUGGGCUGUUUCUCGUUCCAGCCAGUGCACCAUAUCAACGGUGAUGGUAUCAAAUCUUAACGAUGAUGCUGGGACUCGAACCUGUGGCACCGAAUCGCCCGCAAAUUGCAAGACUAACCACGAUGCGCUCUGAGUUUUAACUGAACCACCUGCCUCGCUCAGUGUUGGAGCAAAUCUGCAAAUUCGAGCAAAAUGAACUGUCCUGAAACCAUUUCACCACGUAUUACAAUCAUUCUAUCUUCAGUAUUAGUUGUAAUAUAUGUAAAACGAAAAGAGGAAGAAAAAAAAGCGUAACAAUUCGUGUGCAAUCUUAAAUUGUUGUUUGGCAGUAAUGCUACUUGAAUAAACGUGGUUAUUCAGA